GACGGAGGAUGCAAGUGUUAUCCGGAAUCACUGGGCGUAAAGCGUCUGUAGGUGGUUUAAAAAGUCCACUGUUAAAAAUUGAAGCUUAACUUCAAAGAUGCCGUGGAAACUUUUAAACUUGAGUAUGGUAGGGGUAGAGGGAAUUUCCAGUGGAGCGGUGAAAUGCGUAGAUAUUGGAAAGACCACCAAUGGCGAAGGCACUCUACUGGGCCAUUACUGACACUGAGAGACGAAAAGCUAGGGGGAGCAAAUGGG
rnacentral:rRNA from 1 species